UGGCGGCCUUAGCGCGGUGGUCCCACCUGACCCCAUGCCGAACUCAGAAGUGAAACGCCGUAGCGCCGAUGGUAGUGUG
rnacentral:rRNA from 1 species